GGGCGUAAAGAGCUCGUAGGUGGUUUGUCGCGUUGUUCGUGAAAUCUCACGGCUUAACUGUGAGCGUGCGGGCGAUACGGGCAGACUUGAGUACUGCAGGGGAGACUGGAAUUCCUGGUGUAGCGGUGGAAUGCGCAGAUAUCAGGAGGAACACCGGUGGCGAAGGCGGGUCUCUGGGCAGUAACUGACGCUGAGGAGCGAAAGCGUGGGGAGCGAACAGGAUUAGAUACCCUGGUAGUCCACGCCGUAAACGGUGGGUACUAGGUGUGGUUUCCUUCCUUGGGAUCCGUGCCGUAGCUAACGCAUUAAGUACCCCGCCUGGGGAGUACGGCCGCAAGGCUAAAACUCAAAGAAAUUGACGGGGGCCCGCACAAGCGGCGGAGCAUGUGGAUUAAUUCGAUGCAACGCGAAGAACCUUACCUGGGUUUGACAUGCACAGGACGCCGGCAGAGAUGUCGGUUCCCUUGUGGCCUGUGUGCAGGUGGUGCAUGGCUGUCGUCAGCUCGUGUCGUGAGAUGUUGGGUUAAGUCCCGCAACGAGCGCAACCCUUGUCUCAUGUUGCCAGCGGGUAAUGCCGGGGACUCGUGAGAGACUGCCGGGGUCAACUCGGAGGAAGGUGGGGAUGACGUCAAGUCAUCAUGCCCCUUAUGUCCAGGGCUUCACACAUGCUACAAUGGCCGGUACAAAGGGCUGCGAUGCCGCGAGGUUAAGCGAAUCCUUUUAAAGCCGGUCUCAGUUCGGAUCGGGGUCUGCAACUCGACCCCGUGAAGUCGGAGUCGCUAGUUAUCGCAGAU
rnacentral:rRNA from 1 species